AGCCUAAACCUUCUGGAUAAUCCACGGGGCAUGGUUGGAGAAGUCGGAUCGCGCGUAGAAAACCCGUCAUGGGGUUGCGUGAUCCGCCGUAUGGGGAAACCCGUACGUCUGGCGAAAGCCGGA
rnacentral:sRNA from 1 species